UACGGGAGGCAGCAGUGGGGAAUAUUGCACAAUGGGCGCAAGCCUGAUGCAGCCAUGCCGCGUGUAUGAAGAAGGCCUUCGGGUUGUAAAGUACUUUCAGUCGUGAGGAAGGUGUUAAGGUUAAUAACCUUAGCAAUUGACGUUAGCGACAGAAGAAGCACCGGCUAACUCCGUGCCAGCAGCCGCGGUAAUACGGAGGGUGCGAGCGUUAAUCGGAAUUACUGGGCGUAAAGGGCACGCAGGCGGUUAAUUAAGUUGGAUGUGAAAUCCCCGGGCUUAACCUGGGAAUGGCAUUCAAGACUGGUUAGCUAGAGUCUUGUAGAGGGGGUAGAAUUCCAUGUGUAGCGGUGAAAUGCGUAGAGAUGUGGAGGAAUACCGGUGGCGAAGGCGGCCCCUGGCAAAGGACUGACGCUCGAUGUGCGAAAGCGUGGGGAGCAAACAGGGAUUAGAUACC
rnacentral:rRNA from 1 species